rnacentral:lncRNA from 1 species
GCCGCUUUUUUUCAAAUUCAUAAAUAUAUAUCUCUGAUCUGUUCUACAUGUAAUUGCCGCUUUAGAAACCUAUUGAUAGUAAACAGCAGAAAUGUGGAGAAAUGCCCUCUUCAGUUGGACUAUCUGCAUCAAAUGUAUAUUGUUUUCUAAAGCCUAAAAAAAAAAGAUAUGUGUUUCCGGUAACAUCAUUUUGAAAAAUAGGGUCGGUAGGUCGGAAUUCUUUUUUUUUUUUUGUUUUUUUUUUUUGGACAUCGUAAAUGAAAUCCGGAAAAUUAUCAUGUUUUUUCCAAGUCCGGAUCCGUAAUUAGUUUCAAAAACCGGAAGUGUGCCAUUUGCAAUGUUUUUGAAGCACCUGCUGUUCAAAUUUCUUGGAUUUUAACCUAUUUGGAAUACCUUUUGACAUUAAUAAAAUGUUUUACUGGCUUUCUAUGCAAGAGGAAGCAAGAGAGAAAAAAUAU